UUAAGUUAAUAAGGGCGCACGGUGGAUGCCUUGGCACUAGGAGCCGACGAAGGACGUGACAAACGACGAUAUGCCUUGGGUAGCUGUAAGUAAGCGAUGAUCCAGGGAUUUCCGAAUGGGGGAACCCAACAGGUAAUACCUGUUACCCACAUCUGUUAAGGAUGUGAGGAGGAAGACGCAGUGAACUGAAACAUCUAAGUAGCUGCAGGAAGAGAAAGCAAAAGCGAUUGCCUUAGUAGCGGCGAGCGAAACGGCAGAAGGGCAAACCGAAGAGUUUACUCUUCGGGGUUGUAGGACUGCAAUGUGGACUCAAAGAUUAUAGAAGAAUGAUUUGGGAAGAUCAGCCAAAGAGAGUAAUAGCCUCGUAUUUAAAAUAGUCUUUGUACCUAGCAGUAUCCUGAGUACGGCGGGACACGUGAAAUCCCGUCGGAAUCUGGGAGGACCAUCUCCCAACCCUAAAUACUCCCUAGUGACCGAUAGUGAACCAGUACCGUGAGGGAAAGGUGAAAAGCACCCCGGGAGGGGAGUGAAAUAGAACCUGAAACCGUGUGCCUACAACAAGUUCGAGCCCGUUAAUGGGUGAGAGCGUGCCUUUUGUAGAAUGAACCGGCGAGUUACGUUAUGAUGCGAGGUUAAGUUGAAGAGACGGAGCCGUAGGGAAACCGAGUCUGAAUAGGGCGCCUUAGUAUCAUGACGUAGACCCGAAACCAUGUGACCUACCCAUGAGCAGGUUGAAGGUGCGGUAAGACGCACUGGAGGACCGAACCAGGGCACGUUGAAAAGUGCUUGGAUGACUUGUGGGUAGCGGAGAAAUUCCAAACGAACUUGGAGAUAGCUGGUUCUCUCCGAAAUAGCUUUAGGGCUAGCGUCGACAUUAGAGAUUCUUGGAGGUAGAGCACUGUUUGGGUGAGGGGUCCAUCCCGGAUUACCAAUCUCAGAUAAACUCCGAAUGCCAAUGAAUUAUGGUCGGCAGUCAGACUGCGAGUGCUAAGAUCCGUAGUCGAAAGGGAAACAGCCCAGACCACCAGCUAAGGUCCCAAAAUAAUUGUUAAGUGGAAAAGGAUGUGGGGUUGCACAGACAACUAGGAUGUUAGCUUAGAAGCAGCUAUUCAUUCAAAGAGUGCGUAAUAGCUCACUAGUCGAGUGACCCUGCGCCGAAAAUGUACCGGGGCUAAAACAAUUUACCGAAGCUGUGGAUACCUUUAUAGGUAUGGUAGGAGAGCGUUCUAUGUGUGAUGAAGGUAUACCGUGAGGAGUGCUGGAACGCAUAGAAGUGAGAAUGCCGGUAUGAGUAGCGAAAGACAGGUGAGAAUCCUGUCCACCGUAAGACUAAGGUUUCCAGGGGAAGGCUCGUCCGCCCUGGGUUAGUCGGGACCUAAGGAGAGACCGAAAGGUGUAUCCGAUGGACAACAGGUUGAUAUUCCUGUACUAGAGUAUGUAGUGAUGGAGGGACGCAGUAGGCUAACUAAAGCAGACGAUUGGAAGAGUCUGUCUAAGCAGUGAGGUGUGAAUUGAGUCAAAUGCUUAAUUCUAUAACAUUGAGCUGUGAUGGGGAGCGAAGUUUAGUAGCGAAGUUAGUGACGUCACACUGCCAAGAAAAGCUUCUAGCGUUUAAACAUACUCUACCCGUACCGCAAACCGACACAGGUAGUCGAGGCGAGUAGCCUCAGGUGAGCGAGAGAACUCUCGUUAAGGAACUCGGCAAAAUGACCCCGUAACUUCGGGAGAAGGGGUGCUGACUUAAAGUCAGCCGCAGUGAAUAGGCCCAAGCAACUGUUUAUCAAAAACACAGCUCUCUGCUAAAUCGUAAGAUGAUGUAUAGGGGGUGACGCCUGCCCGGUGCUGGAAGGUUAAGAGGAGUGCUUAGCGUAAGCGAAGGUAUGAAUUGAAGCCCCAGUAAACGGCGGCCGUAACUAUAACGGUCCUAAGGUAGCGAAAUUCCUUGUCGGGUAAGUUCCGACCCGCACGAAAGGCGUAAUGAUUUGGGCACUGUCUCAACGAGAGACUCGGUGAAAUUUUAGUACCUGUGAAGAUGCAGGUUACCCGCGACAGGACGGAAAGACCCCAUGGAGCUUUACUGCAGUUUGAUAUUGAGUGUCUGUACCACAUGUACAGGAUAGGUAGGAGUCUAAGAGAUCGGGACGCCAGUUUCGAAGGAGACGCUGUUGGGAUACUACCCUUGUGUUAUGGCCACUCUAACCCAGAUAGGUGAUCCCUAUCGGAGACAGUGUCUGACGGGCAGUUUGACUGGGGCGGUCGCCUCCUAAAAGG
rnacentral:rRNA from 1 species